AUUGAACGCUGGCGGCAGGCCUAACACAUGCAAGUCGAACGAGUGGCGGCCGGGUGAGCAAUGUCUGGGAAACUGCCUGAUGGAGGGGGAUCACUACUGAAAACGGUAGCCUAUAUCGCAUACUAUCGGAUGUGCCGAGAUGGGAUUAGUGAGUAGGUGGGGUAAAGGCUCAGCUAGGCGACGAUCCCUAGCGGGUCAGAGGGGAUUACCAGCAACACUGGGACGGCGACGCGGUCCAGACUCCUACGGUAGGCAGCAGGGGGGAAUAUGGCGCAAUGGACGCAAGGCGGAUGCAGCCAUGCCGAGUGUAUGAAGAAGGCCUUCGGGUUGUAAAGUACUUUCAGCGGGGAGGCGGUGCCCGCAGAAGAAGCACCGACUAACUCCGUGCCAGCCGCCGCAGUAAUAC
rnacentral:rRNA from 1 species